UCAAACCAACAUUUAAUGCCACCAUUUAUUAGAAUGACAAAAUGGGUUUUUAUUUUUGGUGUGAUUAAGCAAAAACAGAGUAUUUUCCUGCUAAAUUGAUUCACUUUCCCGGAAAAAGGAAAUCAUGAGCAGGAAUCGUAAAGAAUCGAGCAACCCUUUUUCUCUCUAGCUGUCUAUUUUUACUAGUGUGUCUGAACUAAACUGGAAAGAUUGAAACUUUUUCCUCGGAGAAAGUGGAAAUGAUCAAAGUUCGUUGUAUCAUCAAAUGGGGAGAGAAAGACCUCACAGCUUUGGAGAAAUCGGAUCUAUGAAGCGGUGCCCUCUAGAGAUUAUUUUU